GACGCCCUGACCAUGUCCACCAUGGCCUGGUCCCCUCUGGUCCUCACCCUGGUCGCUCUCUGCACAGGAUCCUGGGCCCAGGCUGUGCUGACCCAGCCGCCCUCCGUGUCCGCGUCCCCGGGCCAGAGGGUCACCAUCUCCUGCACCGGAAGCAGCAGCAACAUUGGGCUAUUGGGUGUGAGCUGGUACCAACACCUCCCAGGAUCAGCCCCGAAAACCCUGAUCUAUGAUAGUAACAAACGACCCGCGGGGGUCCCCGACCCAUUCUCUGGCACCAAGUCUGGCAACACAGGCACCCUGACCAUCACUUCGCUGCAGGCUGCGGACGAUGCUGAUUAUUACUGUGCAUCUUAUGACACUAGCAGCAAUGAUGGCACAGUGUUCCAGGCCAGACAGGAAGUGAUGCAAAAACCUCCUGUCCUCGCAGAGUCUGGGCUCUGGGGGCAGAAACAUCCUCUGCAAAGGCAGCUGCUUCAUUUGUCUCUUUGA